rfam:Schistosoma rodhaini strain Burundi genome assembly, scaffold: SROB_scaffold0021657
GCACUGCUGAGGAGUCCCGUAAUAGAAGGAAACGACCGUCCAGUGC